CCUACGGGAGGCAGCAGUGGGGAAUAUUGGACAAUGGGGGGAACCCUGAUCCAGCCAUGCCGCGUGUGUGAAGAAGGCCCUCGGGUUGUAAAGCACUUUCAGUGAGGAAGAACGCCUGGUGGUUAAUACCCAUCAGGAAAGACAUCACUCACAGAAGAAGCACCGGCUAACUCCGUGCCAACAGCCGCGGUAAUACGGAGGGUGCGAGCGUUAAUCGGAAUUACUGGGCGUAAAGCGCGCGUAGGUGGCUUGAUAAGCCGGUUGUGAAAGCCCCGGGCUCAACCUGGGAACGGCAUCCGGAACUGUCAAGCUAGUGUGCAGGAGAGGAAGGUAGAAUUCCCGGUGUAGCGGUGAAAUGCGUAGAGAUCGGGAGGAAUACCAGUGGCGAAGGCGGCCUUCUGGACUGACACUGACACUGAGGUGCGAAAGCGUGGGUAGCAGACAGGAUUAGAUACCCUAGUAGUC
rnacentral:rRNA from 1 species